rnacentral:lncRNA from 1 species
AAUUCCCAAGAAGACAUGGUGUUCAGCUGUAUCUUCGAAGAUGUACCCGUCCAAAGGGAGCUUGGUCUCCACGGGUUAGGCAUGCAGAGAGACACAGAUGUUCACGGACCCCCAACCCACCCGCAAGGCACACUGUCAGAGAUUAGAGCACAAAUACAAACACCCAGGCAAGAUCACAUGAUCACACAGCGAGAGAUUCCUGCAAAGACAAGAGGGAGGCAGGCCCAGAAGAAGCCAACCUCUCCCCACCCUUUUGUCCACAAGUCUUGGUUUUCAGUACGGGAAGAAAACUCUAUUUUAAGCCACCUGAUCCUCGGUAUUUUAUCAUGGCUGCCAUGCGGACUACUACGGAUUCCCAGGUUCUGAAACUUCCCCAAGGUCUCACGCUUAGCGAGAGCCAGAGUGAACAUCAGUUCUCAAGUCUUACACCUUGUAAAUCCCUUAUGGAAUAAAAUAUUUUACAUAUGG